rnacentral:lncRNA from 1 species
GGAAACCGUUCCCAACUCCUGCCUUUGGUGUCAGCUCGACAGGAUCAUGUGGCUAGACCAUGUGCUCUUGAUCCAGGCCGGGGUCACCAUCAGGGGGAUCUAAUUUCACCUCUCGUACCUGUUCUGCUUUUUGUUUCAGUGUUUCUUUGAAGGGGUGAAAUUCUCUAGGGCUAUGACACCAGAAGUCAGCAAAACUCCUCCUCAAUCAUCAGCCUGGACCAAGUUAUCGACCUGCCUGCAGUGGAAGCCAUAGAGAACGUAUUCUCCCUCAGGUAUUCCGCAAACCUGUGUCCUGCAGAGUGUGGUUGCUGUCCAACAUUUGGAUCCUUCCAGUGGCCCAGGACGGGAAACCAAGGCCCGGGGUCGGAUAGUCCGCAAGAAGCAGAAACAGGAUACCAAAACUGGAUUUUAGGGACUCAUCUGGAAUCCCACUUACCAGGGUCAGCUCUCAAAUACCUGCCGUGUCUCAGGAACACCACCAGCCCACUCACUCACUCCCUCAGGACCCAGUUCAUCUUGCUGAUAUUAUUUAUUCAUUCUAGGAAGAAAAACAAGGAAUGAGCUUCCAACACUUUGUGACGGAGUCCUUGUAUUAAAUUCCCUCUGCUGAGUGACCUGGCAUGCAUUUCCUGACUAUACCUUGACAGAUACACAGCCCAAACCCAGGACUACCCUGCUCUUCUACCUGCAAUUGUAAUUUCCUAAGAACAAUCUGUAAGACCAGAUUUGGAGUAAAA